AACUAAUGUUGUUCAUUCGGUGUCGAAACUUGUGUUACCCCAGGGGGGCUGAAAACAAAUUCACAAAAACUUUUCAUUUAUUUUUAGUUGCUGGUUUUGCUGUGGAAUUACUUGCAGAGGGAUAUGGCGGCGACGAAUGCCCCCUCUAUUUCAAAUAUUGGCAUUAAAUUAGUGUCAACCAGUUGGCGAAUGUCUGGCGCCACAUUCGUAUCCGACCACGCUUAUGAUGAUGUAUGGUCUCUGGCAUGGAAUUAAUCACUUCUCAAAGUUUGUUUUGACGAUGUUAUUUCUAAUAAUCUGCCUGCUGAGCUGCCGCCAUGAAGCCUCAGCUGCUUUAUUGCAUGGUCGUAACGUUCUUUUGAUGAUUGCUGAUGACGGCGGAUUUGAAAUGGGCGUUUACGGAAACAACCGAUGCCAAACGCCCCAUUUGGAUGCGCUGGCCGCUCAAAGUUUGGUGUUCUCCCGAGCACGGACUUCGGUGAGUAGUUGCUCUCCCAGUCGAGCAGCCCUCUUGAGUGGACUUCCAAGUCACGAAAAUGGAUUAUAUGGACUACAUCAUGACGUUCACCAUUUCAACUCUUUCGAGACGGUUCGGUCACUUCCAAUGAUCCUCCGGGAAAAUGGCGUUCGUACGGGCAUCAUAGGAAAGAAGCACGUCGGCCCUAGAUCUGUCUACUCUUUUGAUUACGAGCAAACCGAAGAAAAUAACUCAAUCAUGCAGGUCGGAAGGAAUAUAACCCGAAUUAAGUUGCUCGUCAGGGAAUUCCUUGCGAUGCAGAAUGAGACUCAGCCUUUCCUGCUGUACGUGGCGUUCCAUGACCCACAUCGGUGUGAUCAUUCCAACCCUGGUUAUGGGCAUUUCUGUGACAAGUUUGGGAAUGGAGAGCCUGGUUUCGGUCAUAUUCCAGACUGGAAGCCCAUACAAUACAAACCAGAAGAUGUACUAUUACCAUAUUUUGUUCCAGAUACUCCAGCGGCCAGAGAAGACGUAGCGUCGCAGUAUACAACAAUCUCGCGUCUCGAUCAAGGGGUUGGGCUGGUGCUUGACGAGAUCCGUAAGGCUGGUAAGACUGAAGACACUUUGAUAAUCUACUCAUCGGAUAACGGUAUUUCCUUUCCAUAUGGCCGGACGAAUAUGUACGAACCCGGAUUGGCUGUUCCGCUAUUCAUCAAGUCCCCCUAUGAUUUGACAAGACGAGGAGAGCUAACGGAUGUUCAAGCUAGUUUGCUGGAUAUAGUGCCGACGGUGUUGGAUUGGUUUGACAUCGAUUAUCCGAAAUAUCAUAUCCUUAAACCCAGUCAGCCUACUAGCCUCGGUGGAAAGUCUCUCUUACCGUUCUUGAGAGGCGAUGAUAAAGCGGAAAGCGACGCAUUCUUCGGAAGUCACGCCAUGCACGAAGUGACGAUGAAUUAUCCCAUGAGAAGCAUUAUUCAAGGAGAGCGGUACAAACUGAUACACAAUCUAAACGCUCCUGGUACUCCGUUUCCCAUCGACCAGGAUUUCUACCUAUCACCGACGUUCCUCGACAUGCUCAAUCGGACAUUAAAUGGGCUCCCCCUUCACUGGAUCAAGGAACUGUCUGAUUACUACUUUCGAGAGGAAUGGGAAAUGUUUGACCUGAAGGAGGACCCCAAAGAAUGCGUAAAUUUACACCGCAAAAAGAAAUACAGGGUUUGAGAUAUUCGUUGAACUGAAGGAAAAAUUAUUCAUGUGGCAAAAAUCUACUUACGAUCCAUGGUUGUGUGCUCCACAUGG
rnacentral:misc_RNA from 1 species